GGAACAAGGUUUCCGUAGGUGAACCUGCGGAAGGAUCAUUGUCGAAACCUGCCAAGCAGAAAGACCCGCGAACCCGUUAUGACACUCGGGGGGCGAGGGGUGCAAGAUUUGGCCCCGGACCCUCCACGUCGAGUGCGCGUGGCCUUGCCCCGUGCACUCGUCCUUAAACGAACCCCGGCGCGUAAUGCGUCAAGGAAAAAUAACGAAACGAGCCUAGCCGCCGUGGCCCCGUAAGCGGUGCAUGCCGCGGCAGUCGGUGCGUGAUUGGUUUAAGUCUAUAACGACUCUCGGCAACGGAUAUCUCGGCUCUCGCAUCGAUGAAGAACGUAGCGAAAUGCGAUACUUGGUGUGAAUUGCAGAAUCCCGUGAACCAUCGAGUCUUUGAACGCAAGUUGCGCCCGAAGCCAUUAGGCCGAGGGCACGUCUGCCUGGGCGUCACACACCGUUGCCCCCUCCCAAACCCCUGUCACUCCCCGUCGGGUGCACACGGACAAUGAGGGGGCGGAUGAUGGCCUCCCGUGCGCGUUUUGCCUCGCGGUUGGCCCAAAAUCGAGUCCUCGGUCACGACGUCGUGGCAAUAGGUGGUUGUCGAAGAUUCGGUGCCCCGUCACGUGCGUCGGACACGCAUCGAGACUCCGAGAGACCCCAACGCACCCCUUCUUCGGUGCUUCCAACGCGACCCCAGGUCAGGCGGGGCUACCCGCUGAGUUUAAGCAUUAA
rnacentral:rRNA from 1 species